AGAUCCCAGUUUCCCCAAACCAGUCCUGUCUCUGGAACCUAUGGAAGAAAUCACCAUCGGACAGAGAGUCACUAUGCGUUGUGGAACUCAAGAAGAAGUGAAAAGGUCUUAUCUGCAAAAGGAUGACUCUCAGGACUGGUCAAUACACAGUGACAUGAACAUGUUCACCAUCAGUGAUGUGAGCAAGAAGGAUGCAGGAAGAUACAGCUGCAGUUACACCUCAGUGAGGCAACCAUAUCUCCUGUCUGAGC